GAUGAACGCUGGCGGCGUGCCUAAUACAUGCAAGUCGAGCGAACAGACGAGGAGCUUGCUCCUCUGACGUUAGCGGCGGACGGGUGAGUAACACGUGGAUAACCUACCUAUAAGACUGGGAUAACUUCGGGAAACCGGAGCUAAUACCGGAUAAUAUAUUGAACCGCAUGGUUCAAUAGUGAAAGACGGUUUUGCUGUCACUUAUAGAUGGAUCCGCGCCGCAUUAGCUAGUUGGUAAGGUAACGGCUUACCAAGGCAACGAUGCUUAGCCGACCUGAGAGGGUGAUCGGCCACACUGGAACUGAGACACGGUCCAGACUCCUACGGGAGGCAGCAGUAGGGAAUCUUCCGCAAUGGGCGAGAGCUUGACGGAGCAACGCCGCGUGAGUGAUGAAGGUCUUCGGAUCGUAAAACUCUGUUAUUAGGGAAGAACAAAUGUGUAAGUAACUAUGCACGUCUUGACGGUACCUAAUCAGAAAGCCACGGCUAACUACGUG
rnacentral:rRNA from 1 species